UUAGGUAUUACAAGAGACCGUCUUUUGAGACAUGUGUAGCUCAUUCGUGUCUCUCUAUGUCUCUCUCCCUUCCUCGACAUCUCCGUUCUUUCUUCAUCCUCGAUUCAGCAAUGGUAGAACAGAUGAAAUCUUCCUCUUUCCGACUCCCCCGACACCCUCUUUGUCCUUCUCCACUGCCUCUUCGAUUCCUCCGCCGAUCCUAAACCCCUGUGAAACGAGAAUCAACGCGUCUCCUCUCCUUCAACAUCAACGGGUCUUCGAUGGUGGGGCUCUUUGUUAAGCCUUUGUUCGAAGCUAUGGUGGAGCAGAACAAAAGCUUGCAGUCUGGUGCUGCUAUUAGUAUGGGGAAGAUGGUUAAUUCAGCAACGGGGCCUCCCGUUGUGGCUUUUCAGAAGUUGUGCCCUAGAAUCUAACAAGCUGCAGAAUCUGGCUGGGCAGCGUUCUGAUGUGCUUGAGAAUCUGUCUCCUAUAGUGAGAGCUCGUGUUGAUGCCUUGAAGGAUAUACAGAGCCAACACAUGAACUUGUCUUUUCUGGCUUCUUUCUCGCAUGGUCCUUCAGAUGCGUGGAACCAUCUGCCCUACUCAGAACUGGGAUGUCAUUAAAGUCAUGGAGCAUAUGGGAUCAUGGACAACAAGCUCAGUGCACCAGAGGUUUGAUCAAUGAUUCUUGAUUGGGAAGUAAGUUAAUUUGGUUGUUUCUUAAAUGUGAAUUCUGAUACGUGAAGCUGCUUGUAUGGGUUCGUUUCUUAGUUCCAUGAGUGUCUCCUAUGUCGAUUUUUUGUUCGUUACGGUAGAACGCUGAUCACUUUUUCUUUAGGUACUUUGGUUUGUAGAGUCUUGAAUCAUGUGCUCUUUGGUCAAUGUGAACUCCACGAUACGCGAAGCUGCUUGUAUGGUUUCUUUUCUAGUCUGGUUGUGAAAGAGUGGAGCAUUGGGAGCAUCCUUGCAACGGACAUGAAGCCUUUUUUUCUAGUCUGGUUGUGUUUGUUCUUAUGUGUCACUUGUUUUGUUGUGUCAAUUUUUUUUUAAGAACCCUUUGUUAAAACUCUUGCAAUGGACCACUUAAAUGUUUGGAUUUCUUAAGCUUGUCUCUUAGUUCACUUUUUGUGCUUAAAAGCAUUAAAAAAGUAAUAAGAACCCCUAAUAUGAGUC